UUACCUUAGGGUUUCCUCUGGGGUAAGUGAUUGCUUCUACACUGUGAAAAUUUGGCUGAGAGACUCAGACUGGUCAUGGGUAGACCUAUCUGGGGUUUGAUCGAUGCCACUCCUGGUUUCAGGAGCACCCUUCAUAAUAAACCUAGAAAUUCAGUAUUAUAAAGUUUAAUAAAAAACAACUUUUAACAAUGGAUCUCUUGGUUCUCGCAUCGAUGAAGAACGUAGCAAAGUGCGAUAACUAGUGUGAAUUGCAUAUUCAGUGAAUCAUCGAGUCUUUGAACGCAGCUUGCACUCUAUGGUUUUUCUAUAGAGUACGCCUGCUUCAGUAUCAUCACAAACCCACACAUAACAUUUGUUUAUGUGGUAAUGGGUCGCAUCGCUGUUUUAUUACAGUGAGCACCUAAAAUGUGUGUGAUUUUCUGUCUGGCUUGCUAGGCAGGAAUAUUACGCUGGUCUCAGGAUCUUUUUCUUUGGUUCGCCCAGGAAGUAAAGUACAAGAGUAUAAUCCAGCAACUUCAAACUAUGAU
rnacentral:rRNA from 1 species